AGGUCCUACUCACCUGAAAGUCGUCACUACAGAAGGUACAGGUCAGUGUCGAGCAGCGUUAGCCCUCUGAGGAGAAGCAAAUCACGGAGCUUAUCCCCGAAGAAGAGAAGGAAAGGGAGCAGAAGUAAGUCUCGCAGGCGCGACAGUCAAUCUUCAAUGAGCCAUUCGAGGAGUGCAAGGUCAAGCACCUCCAGAUCCGUCAGCCCAUAACACUCUCUGCUUACUUGUUGUUGACAUCAAUCACUCAAUUCACUUUUGAUGUUGUAGUAAAUAAUUUGGAUUUACCUAGAUUUGGGAAUGAUGUCAGAAUAGAGUCCGUAUGUUGUGUUGGUUUGGUUUUGAUGUUAGAAUAUGUAUCAUGAGUUACAUGGCACCGUUUCUUAGCCUGAUUGAGUCAGUCACCUUAAUAAAUUUCCAAAAAGUCUGACUUAUUGAUCCCUAAAGGUUAAAGAAAUUUCUUCUGUGUAACUGAUAAAUAAUAUAUUUAAAUGUUUUCAGAAAUUUCAA